rnacentral:lncRNA from 1 species
UAUUAAAAAGUAACAAUGACAAGUGAAUCAUUUUUAAAAUUUGUUGAAUGAAACUGAACAAGAAUAAACUUGAGAAAAAAAGUUCCCGAUGCGUAAAUCGUUAAACACUUUCGGGGAAUCUGUGAAUGACAGAUAAAAAGCAUUAGCAUGUUUUUCAGGGUGGAAAAAGAGACAAAUGGUUAGUCGGGCUGUUGAACACCGCAUAAAGAAGAUGAAGAUGAAGAUGAGAUGACGAGGAGCAAGCAAGCAAGUAAGCAAGUUAGAGAAGAGUAGAGGGAGAAUAGUUUAUCGACAGGAUGAAGCCAUUAUCAAGGUGUACGGUCUAGUUCUUGUAUGUAUUGAGGCGAGGACUUUUCGACUGGCAUAUAGAACAAUUCUACUGGGACGAAGUAAAAGAAGAAGAAGAAGAUGAUGAUGAUUAUGACUGUGAUGAAGAAGAGUAAAUUCGCCGGCUCAAAAAUGAGCUAAGGCUUCCUGUAUAUUUCACGACCUCAUUUAAAUGGACACUGGAGAAUUUCAAUUGGAGUCACAGCCUCCACGGGUCAUUGAUCCUAAAAAUAUAUAUUUACAAAGACGUUUUUUAAAAAGCGUCGUCAUAUCAUCCAGCAAGCACUUGAUCAAAGACCAGUAUGAAUAGCAUAACUGGAUCCCGAGUGCGGAAAAUAACUGCAUAGAAGUGGGCAACUAGUAUAAUAUCAAUAAGUGAAAAAAGACAUAUUUAAACCAGCUCUCAAGCGUUCCUAAUUACCAUGAGUGUUUUUCGGUAUUUGAAACAUACUAUUCAGAGGACAAGCUUAUAACAUAUACACACACGAUAUGCAGUCGCAGUGUCUUAUACCGGUUUUUCUCGCCUUAUUAAUAAAUUAUACAAGCCAAGGAGGUUCGGCGUAUAGUAGAGAGCUCUCUUAUAUACAUUAGCCCGAGAAUGAACGAGCAAUAAAACGCACACAGUGCGAGUAAGCAAGAAGACAAGAAGACAGCGUAUCCAGCGUACAACCAGGCACCUUGGUUUAAUACAUAUGUACAUAAGUUGUUUUAUAUUGAGU